rnacentral:rRNA from 1 species
UACGGAGGGUGCAAGCGUUAUCCGGAUUCACUGGGUUAAAGGGAGCGUAGGUGGGCUGGUAAGUCAGUGGUGAAAUCUCCGAGCUUAACUUGGAAACUGCCAUUGAUACUAUUAGUCUUGAAUAUUGUGGAGGUCAGCGGAAUAUGUCAUGUAGCGGUGAAAUGCUUAGAGAUGACAUAGAACACCAAUUGCGAAGGCAGCUGGCUACGCAUAUAUUGACACUGAGGCUCGAAAGCGUGGGGAUCAAACAGG